rnacentral:lncRNA from 10 species
CCGUUUUUAUUUUUUCCUGCUCUAUGACACGGAGAAUGUGCAGGACAUGAAGCCUCUGAGGUCCAAUGGCCCCUUGGAAUACUGUAGGGGAAGGCGGUGGAUCACCCUGAGGCCGGGAGGGCGUGAGUUGACUCAUGGAAGUACCCAGAGCAGGGCUUAGUACACAGAAGGCACUCAGUAAGUGCUGGCUGGCUGGACAGGCUGAUGGGGAGUGGGCCCGGUCAACCGGAGGCCAUUUCGGGUCUGGAGGUGUUAACCCUACUCAGGGUCUGGGAGGCUGAGGUGGCACCAGCCUCACGCUCGGCCAAGGUACUGAGUGGAUCUAAGGCCGCCACACAAGACACAA